ACUGCUCUAACUUUAGGAGAAGAAAGGGAGCAGCUGCCUUAGGACCACGUCUUUCCAGGAGUCUGUCCCACUAGCACCCCUUCCCCUACUCCCAUGUUGGAAGGAAAUAUGCAAGAGGAAAUAGGGGCCAAACCCACUCACCAGGGAAGGCCACACUGCUUCUCUGUGAUUGGGACAGCUGAGAGAACAGAUCUUCUGAGACCCAAAGAGAAGAACAAGAUCGACCAGAUUGUUCCAAGCACAUGGUUCAGGAAGGAAAUGUCACAGCAAAAUAUUUUUCCCUAAUUUAGAAGGCUUUUUGAUGGUUGACCUACCCCAAGCCUCAAGCAGAUUGUCAUUGAUGAUCAAACUCCAAAACCAGAAGGAUUUUACCUGCUUGGGAUUUUUAUUUCAAAGAUUCAUGGAGCUACUGCACAAAUCAGAAUUUCCAAGAAAGCAAAGUACAGUAAUGAUCCAGCAGAAGCGGAGGCAGACAGACUCAGUCUGUGAAUGGGGGAUCUCCGCGAAUUCGAAAAGCCCACUUCUAAGGCACGGCCACCAUCUGGCUCCCAGAACUUCAGGCUGAAGCAGAUCCAGUGGGGAUUUUCUUCUUCAUCAGCGGACUUUGUUAUUGAAGAGCCCCAAAACUGGGAAAGGACAAACAAAGGCAUUUCUUGGGCUACAAAGCAAGAUUUGCACAUUCAAAAGCUUUUGGAAAUGCAAACCAUCUGUUUUUUUGUAAAUUUGCAUGCUGGCCAGUGAAAUGAAUUGAAGAAUAACAGAAGGAGUUGGUUUCCAGAACAGCUCUCUCUUUCCCUCUGUGGCUUUGAGGUGUUUAUCAACCGUAUGUCUUUUGGGGCAGGUAGGGUAAUAAAGUGAUUUUUCCCCAUGUUUUUCCUCACUUCACACCUUGUCAGGAGAAAUGUUAAGGGCAACUUUGGGAAGUUGAGACAAUCUCAAAUUUUUGUUAAACACUGAAGUAAUCUGUUUCUUAUUGGAUGCUGUUUUAUAUCAAAGUCAGCAAAGGCACAAGCAGCAUGGCCUAGU